UACAGAGGUCUCAAGCGUUGUUCGGAUUCAUUGGGCGUAAAGGGUGCGUAGGCGGCGCGGUAAGUCGGGGUGUGAAAUCUUGGAGCUUAACUCCGAAACUGCAUUCGAUACUGCCGUGCUUGAGGACUGGAGAGGAGACUGGAAUUUACGGUGUAGCGGUGAAAUGCGUAGAUAUCGAUAAGGAAGACCAGUGGCGGAAGGCGGGUCUCUUGGA
rnacentral:rRNA from 1 species